CAAUUGUUGGGAAUUUGUCUUUGAUUCCAGCACCUAACCUAAUAUCUGAUACAUAGCAGGUGCCCAUUAAAUAAUUAUCGAUAAAAAUUUCAUUAUUCUUUCUAAUAUAAGGACAUAUAUUAGGUAAGACCCUUUCUGUCAGGCAUUAAAAAAAUCUCAGAAAAUUAUGCGCCUGAAUGCAAAGUGAUUAAAUCUUGCAGUCUGGUAUACCAUCUUAAAUUAUCCAGAGAUGUCAACUUGAAUAUUUAAGAAUCUUUUUAAUCUCUGUGAUAAACAGAAGAAAUUACUCAGCAACUAAGGAGAACUGAUUUAUGACAAAAUUGCUGUUUUUAAACAUCUGUUAAUGCCAACUCACUAGGCAUAAAAAUUCAGAUGUCAAACAUAUCAUUCAGAAGCUAUGUUUUUGUGUAUGCCUUCUUCAAAAACAAAAAUCAAUACUAGGCAUUUGGAGGGAAGUCAGAUUCUGCAGUUCUGCUGCUGUCUUAGUUUUCUAUUGCUAUGUAACAAAUUACCAUAAAGUGAGAAGCAUAAAAAUGCUAAUUUAUUAUCUAGGGGUUUCCAGGGUGAGGAGUCUGGGCACAGGUUAGCUGACUUCUCUGUUCAAGUCUUAAGGGCUGCAAUCCCAGUGUCAGCUGUCCUGUGGUUCUUACCUGGGUUUGGGGUCCUUUUAUAAGCUCAUUUAGGUUGUUGGCAAAUUUUAAUUCCUUGCAGCUCCAGGACUUGUAUCCUUGUUUUCUUACUGGCUGUUGUCUAGGCACCGCUCUAAGCAAUUGAAGGCCACUCCUCUCUGUAGAUAGCUUGCAACAUGGCUACAGUAUUUGUUUUCCGUCUCUUACGCCAACCAGAGAAAAUUCUUGCUUUGAAGAGAUCACCUGAUUAUGUCAGAACAACUAAGAAGAUCCAACAGAGGACUCUGAUGCUGUUUCCAGGACAGUGGAACCACAAGAUGAAAACAAUUUUGGGCUCCUGA
rnacentral:lncRNA from 13 species